GAUGAACGCUGGCGGCGUGCCUAAUACAUGCAAGUCGAGUGAACAGACGAGGAGCUUGCUCCUCUGACGUUGGCGGCGGACGGGUGAGUAACACGUGGAUAACCUACCUAUAAGACUGGGAUAACUUCGGGAAACCGGAGCUAAUACCGUAUAACAUGUUGAACCGCAUGGUUCAACAGUGAAAGACGGUCUUGCUGUCACUUAUAGAUGGAUCCGCGCCGCAUUAGCUAGUUGGUAAGGUAACGGCUUACCAAGGCAACGAUGCGUAGCCGACCUGAGAGGGUGAUCGGCCACACUGGAACUGAGACACGGUCCAGACUCCUACGGGAGGCAGCAGUAGGGAAUCUUCCGCAAUGGGCGAAAGCCUGACGGAGCAACGCCGCGUGAGUGAAGAAGGUCUUCGGAUCGUAAAACUCUGUUAUUAGGGAAGAACAAAUGUGUAAGUAACUAUGCACGUCUUGACGGUACCUAAUCAGAAAGCCACGGCUAACUACGUG
rnacentral:rRNA from 1 species